AUGUACGAUGACAUCGCCAACAGCCCUGACAACCCAAGGCGUGGAGUCGUCAUCAACCAUCCUAAAGGCAAAGAUGUCUACCAUGGUGUUCCCAAGGACUACACUGGUGACCAGGUCACUGCUAAAAACUUCUAUGCAGUUCUCUUGGGGAACAAAACCGCAGUUACCGGAGGGAGUAGGAAGGUGAUAAACAGCAAACCAGAGGAUCACAUCUUCAUCUUCUACUCGGAUCAUGGGUCUCCUGGUUCACUUGGUAUGCCCAACUCACCAGAUGUUUAUGCUGACGACUUCAUCAAAGUGUUACGGCAAAAGCAUGCUUCCAAAAGCUAUUCGAAAAUGAUCAUAUAUGUUGAAGCGUGUGAAAGUGGCAGCAUCUUUGAGGGUUUAAUGCCACAAGAUCACAAUAUUUAUGUUACAACGGCAUCAAAUGCGGUAGAAAGUAGCUGGGCAGCAUACUGCCCUGAGGAUGGAACACCACCUCCUCCUGAAUAUUUUACCUGUUUAGGUGACUUAUACAGUGUUUCUUGGAUGGAAGACAGUGAAGCUCACGAUCUAAAGAACGAAACCAUCAAGGAGCAGUACGAGGUGGUGAAAGCGAGAACGGCACCCCGAAAUGAGUCCAUUAGAGGUUCUCAUGUCAUGGAGUAUGGCGACAAGACUUUCAAGGAGGACAUGCUUUUUCUCUACCAAGGUUUCGAUCCUGCAAAGUCAAGCAUCAGAAACAGGCCGCUGCCUAUGCCCAGCCUGAAGAGUGCAAUCAAGCAAAGAGAUGCCGAUGUUCUCUUCAUGUGGAAGAAGUAUGAGAAGUUGAAUGGGGGAUCAGAAGAGAAGCAGAGGGCUCUCAGGGAGGUCAAAGAAACCGUGCUGCACAGGAAGCAUCUGGACACCAGUAUCGAUUUCAUCGGGAAGCUCGUCUUCGGAUUCGACAAGGGGCCUUCGGUGCUCGAGGCUGUUAGAGGCUCUGGCCAGCCAUUGGUCGACGAUUGGGAUUGUCUGAAGACGAUGGUGCGAGUGUUCGAGUCCCAGUGCGGAUCACUCGCUCAGUACGGCAUGAAACACACGAGGGCGUUCGCAAACAUGUGCAACAAUGGCGUCUCCGAGGCCGAGAUGAAGGAAGCGAGCAUCAGCGCUUGCGACGGCUACGACAUGGGGAAGUGGAGCCCGUUGGUUCGAGGGCACAGCGCCUGA
rnacentral:rRNA from 1 species